CGGGAGUGUGAACUAGGUUUCUAUUCAAGCGUUGAUCGUUCAUUUCUAGCGAGAAAUGUGUUAAAGCUGCGGUGUAAGCAAGAUAAUCAACUCUGUUUUCUGGGAAAUAAUGCAACUCUGUGGAAGGUCCACUCUUCAGCUUCGAUGUCCACAAUGACAUUCGGCUGGUGAAUGACGCCACCGUUGAAAAAGACGAGUCUCACACAGGUAGAGUGGUGCUGAGGAGCUGGUAUGAGAAGAACAAGCACAUCUUCCCUGCUAGUCGCUGGGAGACCUAUGACCCCGGAGAAGAAAUGGGACAAAUACACCUUUCUUGUUUUUCAGAUCCGGUGAAGAUAUUGCCUUCAGGAUCAUUCUGGACCCAGAUUUUAUUUUCAUGUUUUACUAUUAAUGUAUUGUCAGAUGCAUUCUCCUUUCAGAUGAAUACAUUUCAUUAACUUUAAAACAUUAGGUUACUCUUCAUUGUUACUCCUCUACCUUUUUAUUUAAAUUCCCCAAAGUGUUGUUGCCUAAAUCAUGAAACCGUAGUGAUCUCUUUACCAAUAACAUAACAGUUCUGUUGAAGAAAUAUUCCCAUUUGAAUUCCUAUGAAAAUAUUUCCUUUAAUUAAAAAAAAAAAAUACAAAUAAACC